GCUUACCAUGCAAGUCGAACGGAAGUCUUCAGACUUUAGUGGCGGACGGGUGAGUAACGCGUGAGAACCUACCCUUAGGAUGGGGAUAACAGCUGGAAACGGCUGCUAAUACCCGAUGUGCCGAGAGGUGAAAGAUUUAUUGCCUGAGGAAGGGCUCGCGUCCGAUUAGCUAGUUGGAGUGGUAAUGGCACCCCAAGGCGACGAUCGGUAGCUGGUCUGAGAGGAUGAUCACCCACACUGGGACUGAGACACAGCCCACACUCCUACGGGAGGCAGCAGUGGGGAAUUUUCCGCAAUGGGCGCAAGCCUGACGGAGCAAUACCGCGUGCGGGAGGACGGCCUUUGGGUUGUAAACCGCUUUUCUCAGGGAAGAAGUUCUGACGGUACCUGAGGAAUCAGCAUCGGCUAACUCCGUGCCAGCAGCCGCGGUAAUACGGGGGAUGCAAGCGUUAUCCGGAAUUAUUGGGCGUAAAGCGUCCGCAGGUGGUUUGUCAAGUCUGCUGUUAAAGCGUGGAGCUUAACUCCAUAUCGGCGGUGGAAACUGAUGAACUAGAGGGUGGUAGGGGUCACGGGAAUUCCCAGUGUAGCGGUGAAAUGCGUAGAUAUUGGGAAGAACACCAGCGGCGAAAGCGCGUGACUGGGCCAUUACUGACACUCAUGGACGAAAGCUAGGGGAGCGAAAGGGAUUAGAUACCCCUGUAGUCCUAGCCGUAAACGAUGGACACUAGGUGUUGCCCGUAUCGACCCGGGCAGUGCCGUAGCUAACGCGUUAAGUGUCCCGCCUGGGGAGUACGCACGCAAGUGUGAAACUCAAAGGAAUUGACGGGGGCCCGCACAAGCGGUGGAGUAUGUGGUUUAAUUCGAUGCAACGCGAAGAACCUUACCAGGGCUUGACAUGUCGCGAAUCCCCUUGAAAGGGGGGAGUGCCUUCGGGAGCGCGAGCACAGGUGGUGCAUGGCUGUCGUCAGCUCGUGUCGUGAGAUGUUGGGUUAAGUCCCGCAACGAGCGCAACCCACGUUUCUAGUUGCCAGCAUUCAGUUGGGCACUUUAGAGAGACUGCCGGUGACAAACCGGAGGAAGGUGUGGAUGACGUCAAGUCAGCAUGCCCCUUACGUCCUGGGCUACACACGUACUACAAUGCUUCGGACAGAGGGUUGCCAGCCCGCGAGGGUGCGCUAAUCCCGUAAACCGAGGCUCAGUUCAGAUUGCAGGCUGCAACUCGCCUGCAUGAAGGCGGAAUCGCUAGUAAUCGCCGGUCAGCAUACGGCGGUGAAUACGUUCCCGGGCCUUGUACACACCGCCCGUCACACCAUGGGAGUUGGCCACGCCCGAAGUUGUUACCCUAACCGUUCGCGGAG
rnacentral:rRNA from 1 species